CCCUGAAGCCUGGCUGAGUUGCAAAAACCAUCGCUCGCGCAUGCUAUGCUAGCUGCCUGGAUUCCCGGACCGUCCACGGGCCAGAUCUAGAAGGCAAUUGGGCCUGAUCUGGCCCACAGGCCUUAGUUUGCUGACCCACAGUUUAGAGGCCAGCAGGGGGAUCAGGAAGGCAAUACUACGGAGCUACAACAAGUCCCAGUUGCUACCCAUCUUCCAUUGGUGCCAGCCUCCUGCCUGCUAAUGGAUUACCCAGGCCAGCACUUUGAAUGGCCAAAAACCCUCAUCAUUCCACACCUGGUUUGCCUUCUGAAAGCAAAUGGGAAUGGUAUUGGAUGACAGCAGUGGGUAAGGUAAGGCUGUGCGCCAGAUUCUACCAAAGCCCAAUCCCAAACCAAGGAGGAACUAAGCUUUGACUGAGUCAAACUGUGACAGCCCUGAAUCACCCUGGGUUUGGCCACCCAGAGCUAUCUGGUGCUGUCAGGAGGUGGGGCAGCAGUCUGCAUGAAGGAGAGACAGCCUCUGGAAGCAGUGUGGGGUUCUUUGCAAAGGGGCUUUCAAAUAGCCCUGCACUGUGCUUUGGCUGUGCACACCUGUUCCCAGCAUUAGGAAAACUUUGGAGGCACACUGAUGGUUGCACAAAGUUUGGCAGAUUUUAAGCAGUUUAUAUGCAAUGCCAGUAAAGCUAGUAAAUUUCACAGGCAACCCCAUGAUGUGAAAACAUUUUAAACAAAGAAAGGGAGGGAGAGGGAGGGAGGGAGGGAGGGAGGGAGAGAUGAUGUGGCCUUCGUUGUAUAUUUUUCUUCUUCUAGACUAGCCAAGCACUGUACUUCAUGUCCUGCUUCCUCAAAGAAGUUUACAAAAAAGUAUUGUAAAAUGUGUCUCCCUUAGUAAUAUUUUAGCUGUGGCAUUUCUUCCAAAGGUCAAAGUAAAUUGUUAUUGUAGUGUAGGAUGGCAAUGAGCAUGAGAAAACAAUGUGUUCUCCUUCCCCUCCCUAAUGGUGCUUCUAUAUUGUUGUUACAGGCAGUAUUUUUAUUGUACCAUCAAAGGAAAAGGGAAAGAAAGACAAAAAAACCCUGAAAUAUUUGGUAAGUGAGGCCAUAAAGCUUUUAUGCCGCAGUGGGUUUUGAAUGGAUAAAACUUUUUCCUUCUUCCGAGGCAUUUGACAGCAUAUUUUGAAAGGUUACUCUGGGCUAUUUGGUGGGCCGUGAUGCUCUACCAAGUGCUCUGAUACAUGAUGUAUCAUGUACAUGAUGGGCAUCGGCACCUGGUGACCUUGGGCAGAUUCCAGGGCUCCCUCCUGCACCUAAUCCCCUUUAAUAAACAUGUUGGCCUUGUACUCCAAGCAGUGCCAGGCAACUGGGUCUAGCCACCAUUUCAAUUCCCUCCCCCACAAAAACCUGUCUGCCUCAUAACAUGUAAUACAAUUUAACCAGAGGCAACUCCCAUUCUAGAAAACUGGUUCUGGGUUUCGUUGCACGCCUACAGUAACAACAAUAACAACAACAACAAGGAGAAGAAGAAGAAGAAGAAGAAGAAGAAGAAGAAGAAGAAGAAGAAGAAGAAGCAGCAGCAGCAGCAGCAGCAGCAGCAGCAGCAGCAGCAGCGCUUGUAACAGGCAUUCAUCUUUCCUUCUCUGGUUGCUGCAUUAAAAAAAAAUAUUAAAGAUUUUCAUGAAUUACAAAAGAA
rnacentral:lncRNA from 1 species